UACGUAGGGUGCAAGCGUUGUCCGGAAUUAUUGGGCGUAAAGAGCUCGUAGGCGGUUUGUCGCGUCGAAUGUGAAAUCCCGGGGCUCAACCCCGGGCCUGCAUUCGAUACGGGCAGACUAGAGUUCGGUAGGGGAGUCUGGAAUUCCUGGUGUAGCGGUGAAAUGACGCAGACUAUCAGGAGGAACACCGGUGGCGAAGGCGGGACUCUGGGCCGAUACUGACGCUGAAGUGCGAAAGCCAGGGGAGCGAACGGG
rnacentral:rRNA from 1 species